GGUGUCGUUUGUGUGCUUUAACUUCAAUAAGACACGGAAAAUAAAGGCCUAUACUCGGCUGUGCUGUUGAAAAAGGACACAUCUAUGUCUCACAGAAGACUGUGGGAUACAGGUGUUAUAAUUAUUACAAAGAGGAGCUAAACAGGGGUAUCAAACCCUAUGGUUACUAGCAGCUAGUGGGUCCGUUUUUCAAAAUAAAAGCACGCGUGGAUGUUUUUAUUGUGAAAACCAUGGCAGCUAAAACAACAAAACAGCUAAAAACGCAGGUGUACUGCAAUAUUUGAUACUCUCACAUACUAUACUCUUUGUUUACAAUGCUAUGGCUGAUGUAAAAUGAGUCUUCCUUCAUUUAAGCGUACAGGUUAACAGACAGAAUCUUAUUUAGAUAGUUUUAAACCGGAACUAACACAGCUGUUCUGUGCAUGGCUUAUGAACUGUUGUGUUUGCUAGCUAGCCAACAUCCUCUGUCAACAGCAUCAAAUUUCAACCUUACCAAAUAUUCUUCAGCCAGAGUUGCCCUCCGAAACAAAACGUCGAGAGAAAAAUCACUUCGCAAAAAAUCUUCAGCCAAAAAAAGGAAUUCAGAAAACAGUAUUGAUUGUGUUCGACUACAGAGCCAUGUAACUAUCUCUCCUCAUUGACUCUACACGUGUAUGGACCACGAUUCAGGGCUGCAGCACAUCAUUCAUUCUCAUUCACGCUUACAACACAGCGCUGCCUUCAGUUGUUUAAAGGAAAGUUCCACCACUGCCUGGGUCACGACAUCAGAAACAUCACCACCAAGAGUGAAUGUCUGGCUGCCAACUAUCGCUGGACACGAAAGAAGUUCAACUUUGACAGCUUGCCUCAGGCUCUGAUGUCCUUGUUUGCAAUGUUCUCGACCGAUGGCUGGGUGAACAUCAUGUAUGAUGGGCUGGAUGCUGUUGGAGUCAGAACAGGAACUUUUGUUGGGUCAUGCCUUGUUUAUGUUUGUAGAAAUAUUGAUAAUGCCGACCUGAUGGUCAACAGUGCCAAAAUGUAGGGGAACACACAAGGGCAGAAAGUAAAACUAAAGGGAUCAAGAACUACAAAAUAAAACAGGAAACACGAUAGAGUAGAAACACACAAGGAAAAACAACACAAGACAAGGUGCCAAGAGAUACAAGGACGACUUGAGGAUCUUACAAAAUAAACAGGAAAUCUAAGAAAUAUUAACACAAAGUAAAUACAACACAAAGUCUGAAGUGAAUGUGAAAAUACUCGUGCCAUAAAGCAGAGCUACCCAAUAUAUUUCUUUCCUUCCUCAAAGUUCUCAACUUGUUUCCACUCGUAUGACAACAGUGUGAAAUUUAUCUCUUGUUUCUCAAACACAAAAAACUUAAAACCUACAUUUCUUUUCUUCUGCUUCUCUCAGCCGGUGAGGAACUACAAUGAAUGGAUGCUGCUGUAUUUCAUCUCUUUCAUGGUCAUGAGCUUCUUUCUCCUGGACAUGUUCAUCGGGGUGAUGGUGGAGACGUUCCACCAGUGUCAGCAGAAGCAAAGAGCAGCAGAUGAAGUGUCGCUAGAGGAGGGAGGAGGAGAAGUGCAAGCGCAGCACGGUGGAUCACAACUCUCCCAAGAUUUUCAGCUGUUUGCCUCAACCUGCCCAUCUGUACCUUCCCAGCUUCAAACUCCAUAUCCAACCUCACUUUAAACAAUACAUCUAUUGAACUGUG